UCGAACGAUGAACCACUUCGGUGGGGGAUUAGUGGCGAACGGGUGAGUAACACGUGGGCAAUCUGCCCUUCACUCUGGGACAAGCCCUGGAAACGGGGUCUAAUACCGGAUAACACCGGCUUCCGCAUGGGAGCUGGUUGAAAGCUCCGGCGGUGAAGGAUGAGCCCGCGGCCUAUCAGCUUGUUGGUGGGGUAAUGGCCUACCAAGGCGACGACGGGUAGCCGGCCUGAGAGGGCGACCGGCCACACUGGGACUGAGACACGGCCCAGACUCCUACGGGAGGCAGCAGUGGGGAAUAUUGCACAAUGGGCGAAAGCCUGAUGCAGCGACGCCGCGUGAGGGAUGACGGCCUUCGGGUUGUAAACCUCUUUCAGCAGGGAAGAAGCGAAAGUGACGGUACCUGCAGAAGAAGCGCCGGCUAACUACGUGCCAGCAGCCGCGGUAAUACGUAGGGCGCAAGCGUUGUCCGGAAUUAUUGGGCGUAAAGAGCUCGUAGGCGGCUUGUCACGUCGGAUGUGAAAGCCCGGGGCUUAACCCCGGGUCUGCAUUCGAUACGGGCAGGCUAGAGUGUGGUAGGGGAGAUCGGAAUUCCUGGUGUAGCGGUGAAAUGCGCAGAUAUCAGGAGGAACACCGGUGGCGAAGGCGGAUCUCUGGGCCAUUACUGACGCUGAGGAGCGAAAGCGUGGGGAGCGAACAGGAUU
rnacentral:rRNA from 1 species